ACGCACGCUGGCGGCGUGCUUAACACAUGCAAGUCGAACGGAAAGGCCCUGCUUUUGUGGGGUGCUCGAGUGGCGAACGGGUGAGUAACACGUGAGUAACCUGCCCUUGACUUUGGGAUAACUUCAGGAAACUGGGGCUAAUACCGGAUAGGAGCUCCUGCUGCAUGGUGGGGGUUGGAAAGUUUCGGCGGUUGGGGAUGGACUCGCGGCUUAUCAGCUUGUUGGUGGGGUAGUGGCUUACCAAGGCUUUGACGGGUAGCCGGCCUGAGAGGGUGACCGGCCACAUUGGGACUGAGAUACGGCCCAGACUCCUACGGGAGGCAGCAGUGGGGAAUAUUGCACAAUGGGCGGAAGCCUGAUGCAGAAACGCCGCGUGCGGGAUGACGGCCUUCGGGUUGUAAACCGCUUUCGCCUGUGACGAAGCGUGAGUGACGGUAAUGGGUAAAGAAGCACCGGCUAACUACGUG
rnacentral:rRNA from 1 species